ACAUCUUUCGGGUCCCGGGAAAUAAACUAAAAAGAGGAACCAUUAACACAAUUUUCUCUUUUUUUUUAAAAAAGAAAGUUGGUACUGCAUCAAAUUUACUACCAAAACAAAGAACAAUCACUCCCACAUCCGGGAAAUAAUAAAAAAAGAGAGAAAUAAAAAAGUUUAACAUAAAAAGAUAGUGAAAUAAAUAUUAAAAAACAAG